AAAAAGUUCAGUUUUUAGUUUUUAUAUAAUGUUUGGCUCUUCGUUUUAUUUGAAAAAGUUUUACGAUUAAUAUUUUUAUUGUUGUUAAAUUAUAAAACAUGAAUAGUAUUUUAUAUGUGACUAAUUUUUUUUUUGCUUUUCUAUAUCUUUUUUAAAUAAGACGGACAAUCAAAGGUUAGACACAGAAAUCCAAAAAUAAACUUGUU
rnacentral:pre_miRNA from 1 species